AUCACUUCCUGUCCUUUGGCUAAGGUGAAGUGUGAUAUCUGUUCUUAUCAGUUUAAUAGCACUUACAUCCUUUGUAUGAGGAUAACAUUGUAAAAAUGGACUUUUGGAUCUGGGAGAUAGAAUGAGAGCUUGCACUGUCCACUCCAUGCAGCAAUCUGGUAUUGCAGCACCUCCGGGAAUGGUCACCCCUC
rnacentral:snRNA from 1 species